GAUUUCCCCGGGGAAUUAAAAUUCAAGGCUGAAGCGGAAACAGGGGAGCUUGCUCCCGCAGACGAGCGGCGGAGGGGAGGGGGGGGGAGGAACUGCCCAGUGUGGGGGAUGCCCGGGGAAAAAGGAAAUUAAUACCGCAUACGUCCUACGGGAGAAAGCAGGGGAUCUUCGGACCUUGCGCUAUUGGAUGAGCCCUAAGUCGGAUUAGCUAGUUGGUGGGGUAAAGGCCUACCAAGGCGACGAUCCGUAGCUGGUCUGAGAGGAUGAUCAGCCACAUCGGGACUGAGACACGGCCCGAACUCCUACGGGAGGCAGCAGUGGGGAAUAUUGGACAAUGGGGGCAACCCUGAUCCAGCCAUGCCGCGUGUGUGAAGAAGGCUUUCGGGUUGUAAAGCACUUUCAGUAGGGAGGAAAACCUUAUGGCUAAUACCCAUGAGGCUUGACGUUACCUACAGAAGAAGCACCGGCUAACUCCGUGCCAGCAGCCGCGGUAAUACGGAGGGUGCAAGCGUUAAUCGGAAUUACUGGGCGUAAAGCGCGCGUAGGUGGUUUGGUAAGCGAGAUGUGAAAGCCCCGGGCUUAACCUGGGAACGGCAUUUCGAACUGUCAGACUAGAGUGUGGUAGAGGGUAGUGGAAUUUCCUGUGUAGCGGUGAAAUGCGUAGAUAUAGGAAGGAACACCAGUGGCGAAGGCGGCUACCUGGACCAACACUGACACUGAGGUGCGAAAGCGGUGGGGGAGCAAACAGGAUUAGAUACCCUGGUAGUCCACGCCGUAAACGAAUGUCAACUAGCCCGUUGGGGACUCUUGAAGUCUUAGUGGCGCAGCUAACGCACUAAGUUUGACCCGCCCUGGGGGAAGUACGGGCCGGCAAGGGUUAAAAACCUCAAAUUGAAAUUUGACCGGGGGGCCCCGCACAAGCGGUUGGGAGGCCAUGUUGGUAUUUAUUCGACGGCAUCGCGAAGAAACCCAGUUUACCCGUUGUGUGCGCCCCCUCUG
rnacentral:rRNA from 1 species